rnacentral:lncRNA from 1 species
UUCGAACCUUAGGAAUUAUAGGGUUCGUCGGAGCCGGAUGUCGUCUCUCCCCCGCCGCAUCUCCUCAAUUCCUGGUCUUCUCCUCCCUAUACACGGUAAACCCUCCAAAACUCGAAUCUGCUUUAGAAUCGGAUUCGAUCAACCUUUUCUGAUCGAAUUUUUAUCGCCAGAUGAGAAGCUCCACGGGUCUUCCCUCUUUCCUUCUUCGACUGGGCAGUUCAACAGUCAAAAGGCGACAUCUUGCGUUGAAUGAAACAUGGAGUCGAAGACCCUUGGCUGAAGAAACCUUCAAUUUUCCAGAAGAACGCGACCUCCAAAUCAAGUAAUUCGGUUUUCUUGAAGAAAGCCAAGUAAUUGUUGCGACCCAAAUUGUUCUCAAGUUAGAAGUGGUGGAUGCAAUUGAUGAGCAUCUUGCUUCCGCGUGCUUAUGUGUUGGAGCCUUCCCAUCAGUGUUCUUGUUCUUGUAGGCGUUUGGUAGAACUGGAACAGUGCUCAAUAUCUCAGAAGAGAUGCAAGACGAUUCCAAGGCUUCGGCUAAGCAAGUCUCUUCAUCGAGAAAUCACUGUGGAAAGGCUUUUGUUUUAGAAAAGCCAUCCACAGUAAACUACACCGCAAAAUGUUGGACUACUUCCUCAACGACGAACACACGUCUCAGUGAUAAUUGACAUGCUAAUGGUUGGCAUUUCCACCCCCUUGAUGAUACGAUGAGGACUACAAUGAUGGUAAGUAGACUGUACAUUUUAUGUUCAUCGUAAUGUGAAUAAGCUGUCGAGUACUUGCUCACAAUUUGGAAUGCUCGACAUGAUAGCGUUUACAAACUAUUCUUGUGAUAAAUGAAUAUUACCUGUUGUAGUUUAAGAAGCAUUGUACAUACAUGAGAGAACAAUUCAUAAGCUUUUACAUGCAUGAUAACUUCUAUAAAUGUGUAUGUUUGCAACAUAAACAAUCAGAGCACAGAUGCCUUAUGUUCAUGUCGCUACAAGAAAGUCUCAGCAGAAAAGUAGACUUUGUAUUGCAUGUGAUUUACUAUGAAUUUUUUGCCUAACCUGCAGCACAUAAAUGUGUGUCCGAGUACUGACCUGUUCAUUUAAGUAUAUGAUUAACAUUAUUAACAACUGAAGAAGGUGCAAUAACAAUGAUCAGUAAAUAAUUCAACAACCAUUCUAUAGCAUUCAUUCCACAAAUUACAUAGGUAACGAUACGAUGUCAAAAAAGAACUCAAGAUAUCCUGUAAUGUAUGGCAACUUUGCACAUAUCUUGUGUCAUUUUCAGGAGAAUUUCCUAUCUUUGUAUGCCAGAAAGCAGAGGAGGUCUCAUUGCAUCUUCUUCUACCAUGUGUGCAUGCAUUUCUGAAGCAAAAGCAGGAUUUGAUUUGAACAUAGCAGUUCCAGCUUCGCGAGGCAAAGGGGAGAGAGAAGGUUGAAUGGCAUUACUCAGUUCCUUCACAUAAAAUUUAUCUUCCUCGACAACAUAGUAGUCUGCUGUUCUUACCUCCUGAGCAAGAGAACAAGAGCAGCAACAUAGCCACUGAAAACAAUCUGUCACGGACGGCUCGCCGCAGCAGAAAGUAUUCGGAGGGAGGUUAAAUUU